UGAGAAGGAGGGCGAGCUUGUUUUAAGGACUGAGGAGGGAAGAAGGAGAGGCGGGGAGACAGGAAGCUCCUAGAUAGGCUGGGGUUUUUUGUUUUGGUUUGGCGUUUUGCUUGUUUGUUUGCUUGUUUUGGUAGUGGCCGCGGGAGUCCUGAAUGGAUCUAAUCUCGGGCUGGGGGAGCUCAGUGAGCCCGGUUCGCCUCAAAACCCACUUUGCCUCUCUUAAUCUGGGCAGAAUCUGGCUGACCAGUGGAAACUGAUGAUCUAGUCCAUCAGCAACAAUAGUGGAGAAUCCAGAAUGCAUGCCCUCCUCAUAACCGUCCUUGCAGUGCCACUUAUCCGGGGAGUUCCAGAUGCCCCCAUAGGACAAGAAUAUAAGGAUGAAGAAGGACUGGGAGAGGAUGAUUAUUAUCAGGUGGUCUAUUAUUACACAGUCACCCCCAAUUACGAUGACUUCGGUGCAAAUUUCACUGUUGAUUACUCCAUGUUUGAAUCUGAGGACAGACAGAACAGGGUGGAUAAGAAGGUAAGGGAAGCAGCAGAGACUACCUUUAGUCAUGAAACAGAAGGUGCAGACCCUCAGAAGCCUGAAACACUGAAACCAAUGACAAUGGAACCAGAGGCUGAAAGGCACAGAGGAAAGGACUCCUCAUAGUUAUGGGGAGGAGAGCUGGAUCUUUCUCUAAGCUCCGAAGAAAGGAAGAUGGAGCAGAGUCCAGAUCUGAACGAUGCUGUAUCCAGUCUGCAGAGUCCUGUUCCCCUCCUCCUGUCCUGGGCCCUCGUUCAGGGGGGGAUGUAUUUCAUGUAGAAGG